rnacentral:sRNA from 1 species
UUCACAGGUUUAAUACCUUGACUCUGGGAAGUGCAGAAGUCAAAAAUUUACAAUUGACCCUUGGGAAGUGCAGGGGUCGAUGUCCACAUAAUAAUACAUGCACUAGUCUCAAAUGACCAGCACCACUCAUUCACUCCAAUCAGGUGUUAAAUGCACACAUGAGGCAAGUGUUAUGGCUUGGAGAGGGGGGUAUAUUUGUCUUGUAUUUUAUUCUGCUCAAGAAUUUCAAUGAAAGAAAUGAUAUACCCUGGUAAUUCACAUACAUGUGUAUUUAGAGAAGCGAAAGAAUGAAGCCGUGUAUCAAAGUUAAGAUAUUGUGAAAGUUAAUUGAGUUAUCUUCCCUUACUUCUUCAUAAUAGAGAUAUCUUCCCUUGCUUAUUCAUAAUGAAGUUAUUAAUCAUUAAAUAUAAUGUAAUUAAGAAGUUGUAUGAUAAAAAAACUAUGCAAGUAUUUUUAUUGAUUAAAACAAAAACAGCUUUUGAUGUCUUUAUAUAAAUAAAUAGACUCAAAAAUAGUAAAAUAUUAAUUGGCGAACCAAAAUCACUGAUAAACAGUACAUGUAAAAUGUUUUUGGUAUAAAUACCAGAUGGUAUGUUGUUGUUAAAAGAGGAUGAAAAAUCGGAAUUGAGAUAUUUUAAUGUCAUAAUGCUGUUCUCUUGUAUGUAUUUUUGUUUAAAUGCCCACAGGGAGAGUAUCUGUCCGCCCAUGGGGAUGGAGAAUGGGAGGUUUUUGUUUAAUAAAACAUGUCUACUAGCC